UGUGUGUGUGUGUGUGUGUGUGUGUGUGUGUGUGUGUGUGUGUGUGUGUGUGUGUGUGUGUGUGUGUGUGUGUGUGUGUGUGUGUGUGUGUGUGUGUGUGUGUGUGUGUGUGUGUGGCAUGUGUCAGAUCUUGAUGAAAAGGGAUGUUUGAUGUUUUGGUUAUGAAACGAGACUAGGGUUGCAAAGGUAGGGUAUAUUACUGGAAGCUCUCUACGUUUACUAGUAAACUAUCAGAAUGUUGGUAUCUUUAAAAGAUUUCCUGUCGUCCAUCAUUAGACAUCUAUGGCCCUUUUAGGUACUGUCUGUAAUUAUCUCUGGCUUUAUCUCAUAAUAAAAUAUAUGAAGUAUAGUUAAAUAAGAUGAUUUUUCUAAUGAACAAUUUAAUGACAAAGCGGUAAAACAUUAACCUAAAUAUAAACCAUCGAAGUAGUGAAAACCAUUGUUGUUUAAAAUGAGGGUUUCGACAUGAAAUAUCCUCUGUAUAUUUGUUUACACUUUUAUUUAUUUAACUAUUGUCAUUUUGUUUUUGUUGUCAAUGUUUUGGUGUCCAACCGGUGGCAGUUGUAAAAAAAGUCAAUAGAUGGAUGAGUUCAUUGAAAAAGAAAAAAAAAUCAAUAGAUGGAUGAGUUAAUUUAAAAUAAAAAAAGUCAAUAGAUGGAUGAGUUCAUUGAAAAAGGAAAAAAAAGUCAAUAGAUGGAUGAGUUCAUUUAAAAUAAAAAAAGUCAAUAGAUGGAUGAGUUCAUUGAAAAAGGAAAAAAAGUCAAUAGAUGGAUGAGUUCAUUUAAAAUAAAAAAAGUCAAUAGAUGGAUGAGUUCAUUGAAAAAGAGAAAAAAAGUCAAUAGAUGGAUGAGUUCAUUGAAAAUAAAAAAAGUCAAUAGUUGGAUGAGUUGCAGAGUUAAUUGAAAAUAAGGCCAUUGUUGAUUAAACACUUAUUUAAUUAAUUAGGCUAUUUUCUCUUGAACCAUCUAUCUACCAUCGUCUAUCUACUAGAAACUCAAGGACAAUAUGGACACAGAUAUAUAAAAAAAAGAAAGAAUACUAUAUGAAUAAUUGUAUGUAUUUAUUAUUCAAGUAUAAAUGACCAAAGUUCCUAUAGAUUGCCAUUUUCCAUUAAUGACCAAAAUGACUGAAUAUUUUGAUAUCUUUGGUAAACUACCGGUAGCUUUGCAACCCUAAACGAGACACUCUCUGAAAAGUUAUAAGUUCCUAGAAAUGAUGUUAUAAAUACGUAACCGUAAAUAAUAAAUGUUAUAUAAAUCUGUUUACUCUCAUCGGGAUUGUAGAAUUAGUAGUCAUGGAGCACAAGGCUGAAGGCUGGUCUCAGAAACACUGGCUCGAUGUGAAGUUACAGAUAAUCCCAGAGUACUUAGCACUCUUAGCUAUAUGAAGAUGGAUGAUACAGCAGUGUUGUUCUAAGCAGGGUCCGUCAUCCCAACCUCUCAUAAGAAACCCUCAUCCAUGGUGUUUUAUUCUAGUGUUUGUGUCUAUCGAGGAGGGGAGGUGUUAGGUUAUGUAAUGUCUGGUUGGAGUCGUGACUGCAGUUCUUUUGUAACAUGUCUGCUUGUCUCUCUCUCUUUCUCCUCUCUCUCUCUCUCUCUCUCUCUCUCUCUCUCUCUCUCUCUCUCUCUCUCUCUCUCUCUCUC